rnacentral:rRNA from 1 species
UUGACAUAUACAGGAAUGUUGUAGAGAUACAGCAGCCGCUUCGCGGUCUGUAUACAGGUGCUGCAUGGCUGUCGUCAGCUCGUGCUGUGAAGUGUUGGGUUAAGUCCCGCAACGAGCGCAACCCUAUCAUCUGUUGCCAGCAUUUAAGGUGGGGACUCAGAUGAGACUGCCGGUGACAAACCGGAGGAAGGUGGGGACGACGUCAAGUCAUCAUGGCCCUUAUGUCCUGGGCUACACACGUGCUACAAUGGCCGGUACAGAGUGAAGCGAAACCGCGAGGUGAAGCAAAACGCAGAAAGCCGGUCUCAGUACGGAUUGGAGUCUGAAACUCGACUUCAUGAAGUUGGAAUCGCUAGUAAUCGCGCAUCAGCAUGGCGCGGUGAAUACGUUCCCGGGCCUU